GCACAACGCGAAGAACCUUACCUGGUCUUGACAUAGUAAGAACUUUCCAGAGAUGGAUUGGUGCCUUCGGGAACUUACAUACAGGUGCUGCAUGGCUGUCGUUAGCUCGUGUCGUGAGAUGUUGGGUUAAGUCCCGCAACGAGCGCAACCCUUUUCCUUAUUUGCCAGCGGGUUAAGCCGGGAACUUUAAGGAUACUGCCAGUGACAAACUGGAGGAAGGCGGGGACGACGUCAAGUCAUCAUGGCCCUUACGACCAGGGCUACACACGUGCUACAAUGGUCGGUACAAAGGGUUGCUACCUAGCGAUAGGAUGCUAAUCUCAAAAAGCCGAUCGUAGUCCGGAUUGGAGUCUGCAACUCGACUCCAUGAAGUCGGAAUCGCUAGUAAUCGCGGAUCAGAAUGCCGCGGUGAAUACGUUCCCGGGUCUUGUACACACCG
rnacentral:rRNA from 1 species